AGAAGUUAUCUUGAAAGAAAUCCAGUGACUUCAGACCUCUCCAGAGCCUCCCUGGAUCCUGAGGAUUCCUGCAGGGAAUGGCUGAUGCAGAGCCCUGUCCUGACACUGGGAGUCAAGGAGAUGAAGCCAAUUAAGGCAGAAAUGGAAUUUCCAAUCUCUGUGGCUACUGGGCAAUUUUCUGUGCAGAACAUCCCUGUGUGGAAAAGCUGCUGAAGGCUGUUCCCUGGAAUGGAACCCCUCACUCUCAGCUCCUCCAGCUCUCAUUCCAUGCAGGUGCAAUUGCACUGGGACUGAGCUGCAGGAAAGAACUUGAAGUGGUUCUUCCUUGGCUUGUGUAUGAUCAAAGAGUCUUUUGCAGAGGUGUGAUCCCACAUCAUGAAUUCAGGG